rnacentral:lncRNA from 1 species
UUUUUUGUUUGUUCUGCAGAAAUAGCGAUAACUUUAAAAAGCUGGAUUUAAAAACUUGUUAUUCUUAGCUUGCAAAGUAUGUGAGUCUCCUUCCCCCCACCUAAUUUAAAAGAAAUUUAAUUUAUCUUUUCCUGACUAAUAAUUGGAAUAAUAAUUGCAGGGCAGCAAACAAAACAACAACAACAAAACCAACAGAAAGCCAAAACCAGACUUUGUGAUUUGGAAUAUUUGGGGUUGCACCCUUAGGCUCCAGUUACAGAAAACUUCCGUUAUUUAGAACUGUGCUUAAAUGUUUGCUUAACAGUAGCAAUGUAUACAGGUCGUGUCCUACAGAUGGAUGGACUGAAAAAGCUGUAGAUGUUUAAGCUUUUUUUUUCUGAUCUUGGGCUUUGGAAUUUAGUUGGUCCAAAAGUCCCAGGCUAUUUGCAAUAACAGCAAUGAAUUUUGCAGCAUUGCUGCAGAUCCUGAGGAAGUUUCUGGAGAGAAGGAUCUUUCAGCCUGCAGAAAAGACUGACUACCACCUUCCCGUAUUGUUGUAGUAGACAACAGCAGAAGACUAGAGAAUAAUCUGUCCUGUGAUACAUGCACGUUGCAUUUUCCUGUGAGAACUGAGCAUUGGGAUUUUAUUUUCCUUUUUUUUUAAUUUUUCCUUAUGAUGUGCAAGACACAUUUAGGAGAUGCACGAGCUAAAUAUUCGCUUAGAUUUUGUGAUCUGUCUCCAAGGGGCUGAAUUGUGGCCUGAGCUUGAGAAGCAAUAAGCACACACAGCUCACAUCAAAUUUAAGCGUAAACACUUACCACAUGCUACUUCUUGAAUGCAAAUUUAUGGUUUAUCGUUCUACUCUUUACAGAAACAAAAUUGCUGUUAGCUUCAAGGGAUUACCCAGAGAUGUUUAUGAAUCACGGGUUUUUUUCUCCAGGCAGGAAUUCAUAGUAAUCUAAAGGUGAGGCCUUCAGGAUAGGAAGUUGUGUCUAGCUUUAUCUGCAGUUUACUGCAGUUAGUGUAGGCUGCAAAAUAAAAAACAAUUCCUUUAGCUUUAGCCUUGACCCUCCCAUGCCUAUAUUUGAAUUUCAUUAUUUUAUCCUUAUUCUGCUGUUUUAUGGCACAGCUUAGCAGGGGCGCAUACCAAGCCAGCAUU